rnacentral:ncRNA from 1 species
AUUUAAUGCUUGAAUCCUGGUCGCCGCUGGCCCACCCUCGGCGACCCUUCCUAUUCCCUGGCGGGAAGCCGGUGAGAGUCCGGCGCGGUCGCGCCACUGUGAGCUUCGAAAGAAGCGAGCCAGACCUCGCCAGGGAACAUCCAUCAUC